UCGCUCUAAUUGGAUGUCAACAAACAUAUUAAACGCGAGCCGCGAACGUCUGUGAUACGAGUGUAUUAUUGCAUUUGCUUUCCCGGAGCGGCCGCCACUCGAAACUCGCGAUUUUCCCCUGCGGAAAGCCCCUUUCGAGAGCUCCCCCAGAUUACCCAGUACCGAUUGUGUGGGCAGUCAGUCAGUUUCCGGAAACUUUUUCGCGAUAAGUUAAUUGUAUCUGUCGUCUGCAGCCGCUGCCGCGAAUUGCUCGCAAAAUACAAGGUUUAAUUGAGGGAAAUUGAGACUGCAAUCGCGGCUCAAGCCGUAGCCAAAAGGCCACUUAUUGAUAUAUCCGGACUCGCAAACAAGUUGCAGAUGGCGGCGAGAUCCACCGGGGAUCCGGUGAAUCGGCCAGGGGAAAUCACAUUUCUCUGCGAGUUCAUUCAACCUCGCCCCAGUGAACUUAGCUGAGGUUAUUUUUACUUCCAAGCAACAGCCUCCUCCGGAAUCCCCCAGCUCCAAUCCCCCCCUACUCCAUCCCCUCUUCCUGCGCCGCCAAAAGCCACCUAGGCCAGGCCAACUGGUCGCCGCAGCCAGAGCAAGAGCAACUGGUCUGGUCUGGUUGGCUGGAGACCAAGUCCCCGAUCUCCGGUCUCCCGAGGCACCACAGAUUUAUAGGGCCCGCGGCUGAUGCACUGAGCCAAAUGGCCACAAAGAAAGAUAUUCAAACAGAAAAAUCAUCUACUUUGCGUUUGAAAACUAAGUCGAAACUUCUUUUAAACUAAGAGUUUCCAAAUAUAGUUUCAAUUGAAUUGUAUGGACAGCUAACAAAUCGCAAUGCCAAUAGUGCAACGCCACCUAAAUUUAUUUGGACUUCGCCAUAACAUCAUUUUAUAAGAUCAUGUUAAGUGGGCUUAUAAGCACAAUUCAGCAAGUCGGUGAAAAUUUGUUAUUUAUUUAUUUCACGCGUGAAUGGAUACAGGCUUAAAAUAAAGAUCUAUUCAUCAGAUUGUCCCAGAAAGACAUGCAACAGACUUGGGGCAAAGUCACCAUUAAAUCAACAACAAAUCCAAAUUAAAUCCUGAUUUCUGUGACCAGCAUGCUUAUGCAGGUGCCCACUGUCUCCUCCUUUUUCUCAGUGUAUAUGAGGCCUUUGCUCAUUUUAUGUUUUGCUUGACUGCAGUUUCUGGUUGCCGUUGCUGUUGUUGUUGGCGUUGCAUGUUGCAUGUGCCGCUGGCUGCUUUGCUUCCUUAUUGGGUGAAAAUCGCGUCGAUGCCAUGGGGAAGUCAUUUUUGAUUGCCAACAGAUUGAUUUGUCAUUUAUUUUGUGAUUUGAUCGCUUUCCCCCCGUCCAGCCGUCGCCACCCCCUUCGGAAGGUUACCGCCCCCGGGCUUUCGUAAUCCGAAAGAUUUUCCAUUCAAGAGGCGGCGUCUUUGUUAUGCGUGCAAUGCGAUGCAUUGAUCUAAUGGCCAUUGACAGGCGCAACUGAUAAAUUAUGAAAUCAAUAACAGAGCUGUAAUAAGAGCGCGGACAAGGUUCAUAGUUAGCAUGCAUAAGAUACGCGCACGCACUCUCCGUCUCCAUCUCCAUCUCCAUUUUCAGCUACCAGUUACUCGGAUACUCGGCUGCCCAGAUACUCGAAUGACCGAUACACUGGAACACUCGACCACCCGUUUAUCAACAAACUGCACGAUAAUUGCAAUUACAAUCGCAGUCCACCGCCGAUUGUCGCAUAUGCAAAUCGAUGCGGAAUUUCCAUAGAACUCGGAAAUUUCCAUUCCGACGGCGCUGCGUUUGAAUGAUAGCUCACAAUCAUGGGCAGCGGUUUCAGUUUCCACUCUAAAAGGAGGCAUAACUAUUUGUUUUUUUUCUGAGCUGCUAAACUAGACUAAAACUAUUUUAUAUAAAAAUUAAAACUAAAUUACCACCCUUGCAUUUAAGUAAAUACGUGAUAUAAGUUGCCUGAGCUAAAAAUGUAGAUAUAUGUUUAGAAUUCCCACAUUUGUUUCUGCAAAGUGCCAAAAUGAUUAUGGAAAUCCAAGUACUGUCUUUGUUUAUCCAAAUAUCUGAUUUCGCUAGGGUAUGCCCAAUUUCGAUGGCCCCAUCUAGACUUUCUUUACCCGUGUUUUUUUCCUAAUGCCGGGCUCUGUUUUCAUAAAUAAUUUUGCGUAAGCUGCGCCAACACAUGGUGAAAGAUGCCAAGACUGCUUACGUGCCAGCGAACAGCAUUCAGUGGUGGCAUCCACGUCCACAUCCACAACGAGAUGCCCAGAUACCGAGAUACUGAGAUACCGAGAUACUCGACUGCUCGAUUGCUCGGGAGGAGUAUCUGCAAGAUACGCGGCCGAUGCGCAAGCAGGCCAAUGACCGUUUGACCGCUGUGUAAUGAUCGACAGUCCGUAUAUGCAGUAUCUGCGGUAUAUGCUGCAUAUACUCUAUGAGAUGGAUACCAUAUGCAGAUUCUUAUGCACCGCACGCUGAUUUUCCGUUCAUAUUGGUGCCAUUAACGGAGAACGAACCGCACAGCCGGCGGCGGGCAACUUACCUAAUAUCCUUUCAUUGAGAUUUCAGUUUCGGCAAUUGCCGUUGGCCGAAAGCCAGGGAAAAGUGAGUGAAGUAGCCAAGGGAUGCCAGAUUUGCAUUCUGCGUCACUGCGUCAGUGCGUCUGUUAUGAACCGAUCGAUAGGUUGCGGAUUUAGCAUAUUCAAUUCCCCCACGCCGACUCUUUAACAUAUUUGCCAGUCAUUACAAGCGAAAUGCGGGGAAUGGGAGCCAAUCCGAAUCCGAAUCCGAAACAAUCCAAUCCAAUUCGGUGGCUGUGCAGUCUGUUAGGUGUUUGGAAAUCGAGGAAAAGUUCCAUCACAGUCACGUUUACUUGAUUUAAUUCGUUGACCAAAUCUGGAGUAAAAGUUCACUUCGUAAUUUAUACUGGUUCCGGCGGGCACGUGGAUCACAACAGUCGUUGUUCUGGUCAGGAUUCUUGGAAGCGAGGACUACCAAAUGGUGUAACCGCAAUAUCAUAUGGGAUAUACAAAAUUUAGUUUGCAAAAUAAUGAAUGAAAUAGAGAUCCCAAUGAAAUCGGUCGACUUAAAUACAGAAAAUAACAAAUUUUCAUUGCUAAUCGUUAGCAUCAUGACUUUCCAAGAAACGAUUACCGCUUCCAAUUUUCUGGCCAAUUUGGGUCAAGUGGACCAAGUGCUUACCGUUACCUUCUGGCCAAUCAAGAGUGUCAAGCGUCUUAAGCGACUUAGGUGGGUUGGCCAGGCCAAUAGAGAAGUUACCGCUUAGCAUUUGCUGGCCGAGCAAGUUUUGGGCCAAAAGCACGAGUGUUCAAACUGUCAACGCGGCAGCAACUAACAACAGCAACAAUAACAAGUUUCUGCCAUUGCAAUGGCAAUUUAUGAAUAGCAAACAAAUCGGGCAAAAAACACAAAACUGCAACAUUGCAUGGCCAAGUCCAAGAGCAAGAAAAGUCAGCGGAAAAUACUGUUAAAUGUGCACAAACCGAAAGAAACAACGAACAUUGACCCAAAUUUUUAAAAAAUCUCCAAGACCGUUCGGAGGUUUUUCUCGAAGUCUGGGCCCCUUGGCAAACAUUGCAUAAGUAGUCGGCGAAAAGGAAAACCCAAGAAAACCGCAGCAGCAGCCGUCCUGGGCACCUCGAAAAAAUAUUAAAUUGAUCGAAUUACAAGGCAAAUGCGGCAGGGAAAGUGAUCGAGGGGGAAAACUCACCGACUGACAGUUGUGCCAACAAAUGUUGGAUGUGGCACGUGGCGCAUUUUGGGAAAACAAAAGGUGCAAAGCGGAAAGGGAAACUCGGGCCCAAACGAUGCAUAACGAAAUUCGUUAAUAAAAAAAAGCAAAAACCAUGUGGAAAGUGAAAACCCAGAAGCGGAAGCGCCAAAAUGCAGCGAGGAUGAUGCGCAUCCGGUGCAUCACUUAAAAAGGACUAAAGGGUCCCCUCAUCUCCACUCGAACCCGUGCCAAAAGGGUGUGGCGAUCAUCUUACAGACGGCGAACAUCUUCCCGUCUCCGGAAUGGAAUCCUUGAUUCCGGGCCCGUGCCAAAGGGUUGCAUCCCCCGCUCGUGGCAAGCAGCCGUCCUCCAGUCGAAUAUUUCGUUGUGUGCCGGAAGUGCCCCUUUUAGUUAUGACACACCUUGUAAUCCUCGCCUGCUGCUCCCGGCCUCACCAGCUGACUUGGACACCGAGCAAAUUUGGGUUUAAAAAUAUGUGAAAGAUCGAGAAAUUCUGCAACACCUCGGCGCAGUAUCUCAUUAUUGCUUUUUGUCGCAUCCCAGUGGCCUUUGUGAGUGGACCUGCCUCCGGUGUCGCAUUUCGCGGAAGCACCCGUCGCUUCGGUGGGUCGUCCAGCACACCGACUGGCUGCUGACUCAUGCCGAGCGUUUAUCCUUUUUAUGAGUCGGCAGUUGCGGCCUAAGCCCUUUGAGUCCUCAGCCUUCGAGCUGGCCCGGCUUAGGCUACCACAAAUGUCACGUAAAGUGGGCAGUGACCGUCGCGCCGCCGGCUCAAAGACCAUUAAUUUGGGACUUAUGGCACAUAAGGAUAUUAGCAUUUUGGCAAGGAUCCUCGGCUUGUCGUCUCUCUGUUUGACUAAGCGGCGACAGCCACAAUCUUGGGUUAACAUCUAUAUUCCCUCAUUUGCACUUGGAAAAGUAUAUUAAUGGAUAUUUGCACUGUGGUUGUAUACAACCUUACUUAGACCUGUGACCAAACAAAAUCUUUGUAUUUGUCAUGCGGUUACAAAGAUUUUUUACUAUUGUAAUCUUUUAUUGAAGACAUGCAAGUACUGCAGAUAUUUUCAUAGUUAAAGAACUUCAUCUUGUUGUAUUGUUGCAUUAUCUUAAAUCUUUUGGAAUCUCGGAAAUUGUAAUACAAGUACGACCUAAUACUUUGGUUUUCUAAAUCUAUUAAACAAUUGAAUUAAAUACUUCAUGCUUUGGUUUUCUAAAUAUAUGUAUCAAUUUAAAUAAAAACCCAAUUUCCCACCUUUU